rnacentral:rRNA from 1 species
AUUGAACGCUGGCGGCCGGCCUAACACAUGCAAGUCGAACGAGUGGCGGACGGGUGAGUAAUGUGUGGGAAACUGCCUGAUGGAGGGGGAUAACUACUGGAAACGGUAGCUAAUACCGCAUACCAUCGGAUGUGCCCAGAUUGGAUUAUCUAGUAGGUGGGGUAACGGCUCACCUAGGCGACGAUCCCUAGCUGGUCUGAGAGGAUGACCAGCCACACUGGAACUGAGACACGGUCCAGACUCCUACGGGAGGCAGCAGUGGGGAAUAUUGCACAAUGGGGGAAAGCCUGAUGCAGACAUGCCGCGUGUAUGAAGAAGGCCUUCGGGUUGUAAAGUACUUGCAGCGGGGAGGCGUUACCCGUAGAAGAAGCACCGGCUAACACCGUGCCAGCAGCCGCGGUAAUUC